rnacentral:rRNA from 1 species
CCUACGGGAGGCAGCAGUGGGGAAUAUUGCACAAUGGGCGCAAGCCUGAUGCAGCCAUGCCGCGUGUGUGAAGAAGGCCUUCGGGUUGUAAAGCACUUUCAGCGGGGAGGAAGGCGGUGAGGUUAAUAACCUCAUCGAUUGACGUUACCCGCAGAAGAAGCACCGGCUAACUCCGUGCCAGCAGCCGCGGUAAUACGGAGGGUGCAAGCGUUAUUCGGAAUUACUGGGCGUAAAGCGCACGCAGGCGGUCUGUCAAGUCGGAUGUGAAAUCCCCGGGCUCAACCUGGGAACUGCAUUCGAAACUGGCAGGCUAGAGUCUUGUAGAGGGGGGUAGAAUUCCAGGUGUAGCGGUGAAAUGCGUAGAGAUCUGGAGGAAUACCGGUGGCGAAGGCGGCCCCCUGGACAAAGACUGACGCUCAGGUGCGAAAGCGUGGGGAGCAAACAGGAUUAGAUACCCCUGUAGUC